rnacentral:rRNA from 1 species
UUCGCAAUGCCCGAAAGGGUGAACGAGCGACGCCGCGUGCGGGAUGAAGGGUUUCGGCUUGUAAACCGCUUUUCUUUGGGAAGAAGGUCUGUCUCGUGCGGAUGGGCUCGACGGUACCAGAGGAAUAAGCCUCGGCUAACUCCGUGCCAGCAGCCGCGGUAAGACGGAGGAGGCAAGCGUUGUUCGGAAUUAUUGGGCAUAGAGCGCGUGUAGGCGGCAUCGUAAGUCGGGUGUGAAAUCCUUCGGCCUAACCGAGGAAUUGCGCCCGAAACUACCUUGCUUGAGGACCAGAGGGGAGCCUGGAAUUCCUGGUGGAGCGGUGAAAAGCGUUGAUAUCAGGAGGAACACCGGCGGCGAAGGCGAGGCUCUGGCUGGUUACUGACGCUGAGACGCGAAAGCUAGGGGAGCAAACGGGAUUAGAUACCCCGGUAGUCCUAGCCGUAAACGAUGGGCACUAAGUAGAGGGGUUUU